GGUGGAAUGAUUUGGCUGAUUGCAACCACAUAAAAAAAAAGCUAAAGCAGUGA
rnacentral:ncRNA from 1 species